CAGUCGCCGCGGGAAUGCAGAGGGUGCAAGCGUUAAUCGGAAUUACUGGGCGUAAAGCGCGCGUAGGUGGUUCGCCAAGUUGGAUGUGAAAUCCCCGGGCUCAACCUGGGAACUGCAUCCAAAACUGGCGAGCUAGAGUAUGGUAGAGGGUGGUGGAAUUUCCUGUGUAGCGGUGAAAUGCGUAGAUAUAGGAAGGAACAUCAGUGGCGAAGGCGACCACCUGGACUGAUACUGACACUGAGGUGCGAAAGCGUGGGGAGCAAACAGGAUUAGAUACCCGCGUAGUCCCUGUCUCUUAUAC
rnacentral:rRNA from 1 species